rnacentral:rRNA from 1 species
GCCUAACACAUGCAAGUCGAGCGAGAAGGUUAAGAUGGAUUCUUCGGAUGACAGAUUAACUGGAAAGCGGCGGACGGGUGAGUAACGCGUGGGUAACCUACCCCAUACACAGGGAUAGCCAUUGGAAACGAUGAUUAAUACCUGAUAACACAUAAUGGUCGCAUGACUAUGAUGUCAAAGAUUUAUCGGUAUGGGAUGGACCCGCGUCUGAUUAGCUAGUUGGUGAGGUAAAAGCUUACCAAGGCGACGAUCAGUAGCCGACCUGAGAGGGUGAUCGGCCACACUGGAACUGAGACACGGUCCAGACUCCUACGGGAGGCAGCAGUGGGGAAUAUUGCACAAUGGGCACAAGCCUGAUGCAGCAACGCCGCGUGAGCGAAGAAGGUCUUCGGAUCGUAAAGCUCUUUUCU